rnacentral:tRNA from 1 species
GGGUCCGAAGCUCAAAUGGCAGAGCAACUGGUUCUUACCCAGUAGGAAGUCGGUUCGAUCCCGACCGGACCCA